AUUGAACGCUGGCGGCAGGCUUAACACAUGCAAGUCGAGCGGGGGAGGUUGCUUCGGUAACUGACCUAGCGGCGGACGGGUGAGUAAUACUUAGGAAUCUGCCUAUUAAUGGGGGACAACAUCUCGAAAGGGAUGCUAAUACCGCAUACGCCCUACGGGGGAAAGCAGGGGAUCACUUGUGACCUUGCGUUAAUAGAUGAGCCUAAGUCGGAUUAGCUAGUUGGUGGGGUAAAGGCCUACCAAGGCGACGAUCUGUAGCGGGUCUGAGAGGAUGAUCAGCCACACUGGGACGGAGACACGGCCCAGACUCCUACGGGAGGCAGCAGUGGGGAAUAUUGGACAAUGGGGGGAACCCUGAUCUAGCCAUGCCGCGUGUGUGAAGAAGGCCUUAUGGUUGUAAAGCACUUUAAGCGAGGAGGAGGCUCUUUUGGUUAAUACCCAAGAUGAGUGGACGUUACUCGCAGAAUAAGCACCGGCUAACUCUGUGCCAGCCGCCGCCGUAACAC
rnacentral:rRNA from 1 species